ACAAUGCCCAGUGGCGAUUUGUUACCGGAUUGCGGGCCACUUUAAAUAAACCGCUAAAGAGGUCAGGACGAAGGAACC
rnacentral:ncRNA from 2 species